rnacentral:rRNA from 1 species
UACGGAGGGUGCAAGCGUUAUCCGGAUUUACUGGGUUUAAAGGGUGCGUAGGUGGGUCUGUAAGUCAGCGGUGAAAUCUCCGGGCUUAACCCGGAAACUGCCAUUGAUACUAUAGGUCUUGAAUAUCCUGGAGGUGAGCGGAAUAUGUCAUGUAGCGGUGAAAUGCUUAGAUAUGACAUAGAACACCAAUUGCGAAGGCAGCUCACUACGGGAUUAUUGACACUGAGGCACGAAAGCGUGGGGAUCAAACAGG